rnacentral:rRNA from 1 species
GAUGAACGCUGGCGGCGUGCCUAAUACAUGCAAGUCGAGCGAACAGACGAGGAGCUUGCUCCUCUGACGUUAGCGGCGGACGGGUGAGUAACACGUGGAUAACCUACCUAUAAGACUGAGAUAACUUCGGGAAACCGGAGCUAAUACCGGAUAAUAUAUUGAACCGCAUGGUUCAAUAGUGAAAGACGGUUUUGCUGUCACUUAUAGAUGGAUCCGCGCCGCAUUAGCUAGUUGGUAAGGUAACGGCUUACCAAGGCAACGAUGCGUAGCCGACCUGAGAGGGUAAACGGCCACACUGGAACUGGAACACGGACCAGACACCUACGGGAGGCAGCAGUAGGGAAUGUUCCGCAAGAGGCGAAAGCCUGACGGAGCAACGCCGCGUGAGUGAUGAAGGUCUUCGGAUCGUAAAACUCUGUUAUUAGGGAAGAACAAAUGUGUAAGUAACUAUGCACGUCUUGACGGUACCUAAUCAGAAAACCACGGCUAACUACGUG